rnacentral:lncRNA from 1 species
GGACUGUUUGAAAAUCGUCUUUUGACUAACUCCAAAAAGAUUGAUUUUUUGAAAAGGACUUGAUUUUAGAAAUAUUUUGACGCUUAUGCGAAACUAGCUUUUAGCGACUAGACUUUAAGGGACUUAACUAGGUUCACGAAGAAAACAAGUAGACAAGGAAACGAAAGGAAAAGGGGAAAAGCGGGGAAGUAACAAUUUAGGCUUUUAAGCCCAAAUCAAUGAGACCUGUCCUAGUCUAAUUGGGCUUUCAGCCCAUUUCACCUGUUCUAAGCUAUUUUCCUUCGAACUCUUGGCUCAACCUUCGCUACACCUGUAUUAAGUUACAAUUUUGGCUUCGG